AAGUCGUAACAAGGUUUCCGUAGGUGAACCUGCGGAAGGAUCAUUAGUGAAUUAAACAUGCUUGGUGUCUUCGCUUCGGCAAGGCCCUUGCUUAAAUCACAUCCUAACACCUGUGAACUGUAAGACGUAUGAUGAGGUCUUUGGCCAAGUCAUCGUCUGCCCUUUUUUAACAAACAAUUAAUUUAACAAACGUAGUCUUAUUAUAACCUAAUAAAACUUUCAACAACGGAUCUCUUGGCUCUCGCAUCGAUGAAGAACGCAGCGAAAUGCGAUAAGUAAUGUGAAUUGCAGAAUUCAGUGAAUCAUCGAAUCUUUGAACGCACCUUGCGCUCUUUGGUAUUCCGAAGAGCAUGCCUGUUUGAGUGUCAUGAAAAUAUCAACCUUGACUUGGGUUUUGGGCUCUAGUCUUGGCUUGGAAUUGGGUGCUUGCCGCUUUUACGAGCGGCUCACCUUAAAUGUAUUAGCUGGAUCUGUCUUUGAGACUUGGUUUGACUUGGCGUAAUAAGUAUUUCGCUAAGGACAUUCUUCGAGAGUGGCCUCGUUUCUAGGACGCUUGUCCGCUUCCCAAUACAAGUUCCACCUCGUGGACAUGACUUUUUUAUUAUCUGGCCUCAAAUCAGGUAGGACUACCCGCUGAACUUA
rnacentral:rRNA from 1 species